rnacentral:rRNA from 1 species
UUCUGGUUGAUCCUGCCAGAGGCCACUGCUAUCGGAGCUCGAUUAAGCCAUGCGAGUCGAGAGGGGAAAGCCCUCGGCAUACUGCUCAGUAACACGUGGAUAACCUGCCCUGCGGUGGGAAAUAACCCCGGGAAACUGGGGAUAAUGUCCCAUAGACUACGGAUACUGGAAUGUUCUGUAGUUCAAAGAUUUAUCGCCACAGGAUGGGUCUGCGGCCGAUUAGGUAGUUGUUGGGGUAACGGCCCAACAAGCCUUUGAUCGGUACGGGUUGUGGGAGCAAGAGCCCGGAGAUGGAUUCUGAGACACGAAUCCAGGCCCUACGGGGCGCAGCAGGCGCGAAAACUUUACAAUGCGGGAAACCGUGAUAAGGGAACUCCGAGUGUCCGUAAAUGCGGACUGUCCGUAUGUUUAAAAAGCAUGCGAAGAAAGGGCCGGGCAAGACCGGUGCCAGCCGCCGCGGUAAUACCGGCGGCUCGAGUGGUGGCCACUAUUAUUGGGCUUAAAGCGUUCGUAGCUGGGUUGUUAAGUUUCUUGGGAAAUCUACCGGCUUAACCGAUAGGCGUCCAAGGGAUACUGGCAAUCUAGGGACCGGGAGAGGUGAGGGGUACUUCAGGGGUAGGAGUGAAAUCCUGUAAUCCUUGGGGGACCACCUGUGGCGAAGGCGCCUCACCAGAACGGCUCCGACAGUGAGGGACGAAAGCUGGGGGAGCAAACCGGAUUAGAUACCCGGGUAGUCCCAGCCGUAAACGAUGCGCGUUAGGUGUAUCGAUGACCACGAGUCAUCGAGGUGCCGAAGGGAAACCGUGAAACGCGCCGCCUGGGAAGUACGGUCGCAAGGCUGAAACUUAAAGGAAUUGGCGGG